CUAUCCUAGAAAAGCAGCCAAAUUUCCUAUUCUGAGUUGGGUCUAAACCGCAUAAUUGAUCACAAUGAAUCACAGACAAUUUCUGCAUAGCUUUAUUAUAUCUAAGUAGGCCAUAUUUGUCGUCUUUUCAUAGAGAUGAAGAUUUUUUAAAUAGAAACAUUAACACAAAGAUUGUUUCUUUCCUUGAAUCUUUGAAGAAUGAAAUCUAAGACCUGAGAAGCCUUCAAAAUACAAUAUUCAAUCAUAAAUUAAAUGCAAACUGAAUUUUAAGUAGCUUGUGAAACUUUAUUUACUCUAUUACAUGCAUUUUUUUAUGACUUGGGAUGUCCUGGUAAGUGGAUCUCUUUCUGUGUCAUCAGUUCUAAAAGGUUUAUUGUCUCUUCAGUAAUGCUGAGAUUUUGGAAAACAGUGCACAGUAGGUAUUUAACUUGUCCYCUUUGGUAUGUUCUAAUCACAGUGAGCUGGCUUGCAACUCUAGGGAACUCCUCUGGUGCUGCAUUUUGCUAACGUUGUUGAUUGCUGUGUACUUGGUCCUUCUCAAAGCACUGCUGUUCAACCUGACCUCCACCUUGGAUGACCCAGCUUGUAGCAGCUUUGCUGGCUCCCAUCUUAUUCCCACAAAUUAGUCUCUUCUGUGUGACUGCAAAAAAUGUUCCCUCCAUUUUCAGGUGUCCUCUCUCACUUAAUAGUGUGGUGCCUGCCAACCAUCUGUUUGUACAACACCUAACUUUUCUUGAGAUGGGUAGGAUGCUCUUCUCCUUCAGUAAGUCACUGUGGAAGUUCUGCAUUACUCUGUUUACUCUGAGUCCCUUCUAGGUGGUACAUCUGUUGUCCUGCCUGGAGGAAAAAUAUACACAUACUUGAAGGCUAAAGAGGGAUUUUUGUUGGUUUAUUUAAUUAUUGGUAUGUUGCUGCCUGCUGCUUGUUAAAGCUGAUAGGUCUGAUACAAAGAAAGUGCAUGAUACAGGCAUGAACCAUGAUCUACCUAGGCACAGGAGUUUUUAUAUUUUAUAAGCAGACAGAUAAUAUUUAUUUUCUCUCUUUCUGUAGACAAGGAAGGCAAAUACUGUGGUUUUGGUAUGGUUUGCCUGGUAAGUCCCAACAAUAAUAAAGGUCUCAGUUUAUUAAACUUAGGCCUUUUGUUAAGGGCUUUGCCAAAUUUUUUCUGUUAAUUCCCACAAAUGCUUCAUCAGUCAUCACAGUCUGGUAAAAUGUUUUCUGUGUAAUAAUCAAAGAGAUUGUUGUGGAGAGCUCUAAUCGGAAUAAAGAGCAGUUUAUACCUCGUGGAAAAGUAGUACUUGGUUGAUUAAUAAGAAGCAGAAAGCACUGCACAUUUUCAUGAAAGCCAAAAAGAAGUAACAAAAAAAAAGGAAGUGUGAAUGAUCAUUUGUCAUGCUAAUAUAUGGUUUACUUUCAAUUCAUGACUUCUGUCAUACAAAGCCUUCCUUCUAAUGAAUGUUCUGAAUGUCUUUCUGCCAUMGAUUAGACUGAUCCUUGUCUUUGAUUUGAACAACUGUACAUUUAGUCCACCUGACAGGAAAUAAGACAUGUCACUGGAUAAAAAUUCUCUUAUCAAUAUCCCUGACCAAGUUGAAGAGUCUGUCAGCUGCUGGAGUGAGAGCGAUUCCA